rnacentral:lncRNA from 1 species
CCUGCAAUCAAUGUGAGCCGUGUGACACUUACCGAGUCCUGAGAGGCACAAACAGAGCAGCAGGACACACUGCAUGGCUGCGCUACAUAAAUGGGGACUGCGAGCUUUCGGGUAUUUACAUGCCUCGGAAAGUUUGAACCUCGUUGAGCUUGCAACACGCUGAAAGAAUGCAACGAAAGCCUGUUAGCACACCUGCACCAGGUGAGGCACAUAUGAGCCUGUCAAUCAACACGUGGACGUCAUCAAUUGUCGACUAAUUCGCCGGCCGCUGCUGCUGCUGCUGCUGCGUUAUCAAAGCGCUUUUCAAGUCUUAACCUAACCCUAAUGUGAACAUCUCAGCAGGGGUUUGUCAUCUUAUCAGAAAGCUGAGUGACAGUUAUAAACACACACACGCACACGGAGGACAUUUCCACCGCUGCAGAAAGUGCCGGGGCAGCGCGGCGUUAAAUGACUUGUCUGUGAAUCCCCUUUGUAGGUGAGCAGAAAGUUGCCCCAGCUAAACUUGGCGCGCGCACGCACACACACACACACACACACAGAGCUUUUCCUGUUAACGAGGCUGAUCAGCAGCAGCAGCGGUGAGUGCGUCACUUUGCAGAGCAGAGGGGAAGAAUGAGACACAAGGACAUUAUUAUUAAACCUUACGGAGCUCACAUCCUGCUGUACAUCCGUCUCUGUCAGCCUCUCUGUCUCUCACACUCUCUCUUCUGCUGCAUUUGAAGAUGAUGCGAUUGCUGUUCCUGUGCCUGCUGCUGCUGCUGCCAGCUGCUGCCGCUGUUUCAGAAGAUAAUGAAGGAUCAGCUGAUGAUGAUAUGGAUGAUGAGGAUUUAUAUGCAGGCGUUGUGGGAAAGGGUGUUCCUGACUCGACUGCAGAUAAAACAACGGGUGUGGACGAAACCUCAAAUCAGCUCACCAUGAUUUUCAUUAUUGUCGCAGUGGCGGUGGUGACUAUCUCAGUUGCAGUAAUAGUUGCUGUAAUAUUAGUAAGACGCAACAUGAACAGUCGGCAGCAAGGAGUCUACUCAGUGCCCACAGAACAGGACCAGAAACCAACCGUCUAGUGAAUGGAGGAGCUGCAGCGCUAUAAUACAAAGGAGUGACAAGAGGCAGCGCAAUAGGAAGAUAAAAACCCUGUUCCACAUCUGCUCAGCCUCAGCAAAGAGAGAAACACGUGGAAAUAGCCAGUGUGAACACCCUCUUGCAACUCUGCAAAUUAAUCGACCACCAUGAAUGAUGAUGUUUUCUUUUUCCCCCCUCUCAUUUUCAUUUUGAAAGGCUUUCACUUUAGUCCCGCAGAUUGUAAAUAGCUCUCUGAAUGCAGUGGAGAGCCAGAUUAAUGCCUCCCACACACAGAGAGAAGCAUGGUGUGAAGAAGAAGGGGAAAAAAAAUCUCACAAAUUAAAUAAAGUGGGAUGAUUGGGAAAAUAACA